rnacentral:rRNA from 1 species
UACAGAGGUCUCAAGCGUUGUUCGGAUUCAUUGGGCGUAAAGGGUGCGUAGGCGGCGUGGUAAGUCGGGUGUGAAAUCUCGGAGCUUAACUCCGAAACUGCAUUCGAUACUGCCGUGCUUGAGGACUGGAGAGGAGACUGGAAUUUACGGUGUAGCAGUGAAAUGCGUAGAUAUCGUAAGGAAGACCAGUGGCGAAGGCGGGUCUCUGGACGGUUCCUGACACUGAGGCACGAAGGCCAGGGGAGCAAACGGGG